GGAGUUAGCCGGUGCUUCUUCUGCGAGUAACGUCACAGAUGUAAGGUAUUAACUUACACCCUUUCCUCCUCGCUGAAAGUGCUUUACAACCCGAAGGCCUUCUUCACACACGCGGCAUGGCUGCAUCAGGGUUUCCCCCAUUGUGCAAUAUUCCCCACUGCUGCCUCCCGUAGGAGUCUGGGCCGUGUCUCAGUCCCAGUGUGGCUGAUCAUCCUCUCAGACCAGCUAGGGAUCGUCGCCUAGGUGAGCCUUUACCUCACCUACUAGCUAAUCCCACCUGGGCUUAUCCAUCAGCGCAAGGCCCGAAGGUCCCCUGCUUUCCCCCGUAGGGCGUAUGCGGUAUUAGCAGUCGUUUCCAACUGUUAUCCCCCACAAAUGGGCAAAUUCCCAGGCAUUACUCACCCGUCCGCCGCUCGUCAUCUUCAAAAGCAAGCUUUUGAAAUGUUACCGCUCGACUUGCAUGUGUUAGGCCUGCCGCCAGCGUUCAAUCUGAGCCAGUANACACAACUCUACGACGAGACGGCGGUCGCGACGACGGCGA
rnacentral:rRNA from 1 species